GACGAACGCUGGCGGCGUGCUUAACACAUGCAAGUCGAACGGAAAGGCCCUGCUUUUGUGGGGUGCUCGAGUGGCGAACGGGUGAGUAACACGUGAGUAACCUGCCCUUGACUUUGGGAUAACUUCAGGAAACUGGGGCUAAUACCGGAUAGGAGCUCCUGCUGCAUGGUGGGGGUUGGAAAGUUUCGGCGGUUGGGGAUGGACUCGCGGCUUAUCAGCUUGUUGGUGGGGUAGUGGCUUACCAAGGCUUUGACGGGUAGCCGGCCUGAGAGGGUGACCGGCCAGCUGGGGUCGGAGUUACGCCCCGGCCUCACUCGGGAGGGAGGCGGGGGGAAUGUUGACAAAGGGGGGGAGGCCUCCUGCAGCAACCCCGGGGGCGGGAGGGAGGCAUUCGGGUUGUAAACCGAUUUCGCCUGGGACGGAGGGUGAUGACGGGAAAUGGAGAAGAAGCCCCGGGCAACCCCGGG
rnacentral:rRNA from 1 species